rnacentral:siRNA from 1 species
CCAGAAGCAUUCUGAUCCGUGGUA